rnacentral:rRNA from 1 species
CUGUGGUAAUUCUAGAGCUAAUACAUGCAGCAAGCCUUUACCCCUUGUGGGCAAAGGCGCAUUUAUUAUUUCAAAAACCAAUCGGUUGUAUUUUCGGAUAUAACCGUUAGCUUGGUGAGACUGAGUAACCACAGCAAAUCGUAUGGCCUUGUGCUCGACGAUCUGUCAGUCAAGCAACUGCCUUAUCAGCUUGUUGUUAGGUUAUAUGCCUAACAAGGCUUCAACGGGUAACGAACGAUCGGGGUCGGAUAUCGGAGAGGGAGCUUGAGAAACGGCUACCACUUCCAAGGAAGGCAGCAGGCGCGCAAAUUACCCACUCUCGGCAUGAGGAGGUAGCAAUAAAAUGUAUCGAUGCGGGGCCAUUAGUGCCUUCGUAAUCGGAAUGAGUACACUUUAAAUCCUAUAACAAGGACCUAUUGGAGGGCAAGUCUGGUGCCAGCAGCCGCGGUAAUUCCAGCUCCAAUAGCGUAUAUUAAUGCUGCUGCGGUUAAAAAGCUCGUAGUCGGAUCUGGGUUACCGGCGGGCAACUCAUGUUGUUUCAUACAACAUGUUGUUUGCUAUACGUGUCGCUUCGGCGGCGCUGCCAGUAUAGUGCUGUCUCUUUGUAGGCACGCUAUAUCGGUCGCCGGAACCACGGGCCGGGUUGGGCAGCAUGCUCUUCAUUGAGUGUGUUGUUCACUCGGUGCGUUUACUUUGAAAAAAUUGGAGUGCUCAAAGCAAGCGUACAGUCGCUAUGCGGCUUGAACAGUGGUGCAUGGAAUAAUGAAAUAGGGCCUCGGUUCUAUUUUGUUGGUUUUAAGAUAUCGAGGUAAUGAUUAAGAGGGACAGACGGGGACGUUUGUAUUGCGACGUUAGAGGUGAAAUUCUUGGAUCGUCGCAAGACACACUAAUGCGA